AUUGAACGCUGGCGGCAUGCUUUACACGUGCAAGUCGAACGGCAGCGCGGGCUUCGGCCUGGCGGCGAGUGGCGAACGGGUGAGUAAUACAUCGGAACGUGCCCAGUAGUGGGGGAUAGCUCGGCGAAAGCCGGAUUAAUACCGCAUGCGACCUGAGGGUGAAAGCGGGGGAUCUUCGGACCUCGCGCUAUUGGAGCGGCCGAUGGCAGAUUAGCUAGUUGGUGGGGUAAAGGCCUACCAAGGCGACGAUCUGUAGCUGGUCUGAGAGGACGACCAGCCACACUGGGACUGAGACACGGCCCAGACUCCUACGGGAGGCAGCAGUGGGGAAUUUUGGACAAUGGGCGAAAGCCUGAUCCAGCAAUGCCGCGUGUGUGAUGAAGGCCUUCGGGUUGUAAAGCACUUUUGGCGGGAACGAAAAGGACUGUGCCAAUACCACGGUUCGAUGACGGUACCCGCAGAAUAAGCACCGGCUAACUACGUG
rnacentral:rRNA from 1 species